rfam:Togninia minima TCRPA7 unplaced genomic scaffold PA7_03_scaffold_397, whole genome shotgun sequence.
UAUUAGUAUAUAAAGAGACUAUUAUGGAUAUCUGCCAUGUAUUAAAGAGAGAUGAUAGUUAUUAAUUUAUGCUUACUUUUUAAUAAAGCAUAUGAACUCUUAGAGAAAUUAAUUAGUAAACGAAGCGAAUUGAAAUAUCUUAGUAGCUUCAGGAAAAGAAAUCAAACGAGAUUCUAUAAUUAGUGUGAACGAAAAUAGAAGAGCCUAUUUAAUAAGUAAAAUGGUAAUAAAACUGUUUGAACUUUAUGGGGAACCUUCCUCAAAGGCUAAAUAUAAUACAUGAGCUACAGUAAAAAGUACCGUGAGGGAAAGAUAAUUAAAUAGUAGUUUUAUAAGCAGCUCGAGCAAAUUAAAAGGCAAGAGCGUACCUUUUGCAUAAUGGGUCACCAAGUUAAUAUUAGAUGCGAGCAAAUAUAUUGCGUAGUUAAAACGAUCAUAAAAGAAAAAUGAAUAGUGUCUAAAAUUAGACCCGAAGCCUAGUGAUCUUACCAUAAUCAGGACUAUAAGGGUCCGAACGGGUUAUCGUUGCAAAGAUAUCCGAAGAAUUAUGGUAAGCAAGUGAAAGACAAUACUGACUAGGAUAGCUGGUUUUCUGCGAAACCUAUAAUAGUAGGCAAUUUAAGUAACAUCUUUGCAGGUACAGAACUUAAUCUCAGACAAGAUGUAAAUUUUUAUAUAAGAAUUUAUGUAAAAAAACAUUUUACAUUUGUACAUAUCGGGGGAUCGUGAAGAUUUUAUCGGUGAGUAUGCAGACUCGGAAUGGCAAAGAUGAAUCUUGAAUUAUCAGACAUAGAAUGAUAAGGUUGUAUGUCAAAAGGGAAACAGCCCAGAACAAGAAUUAAGGUUCCAAAAUUAUUAUUAAGUGAAAUUAAGAAAGUUUUUAUAUAAGUCGACAAGGAGAUGGGCUUAGAAGCAGCCAUAAUUUGAAGAUCUCGUAACAGAGCGCUUGUUAAAUCUUAAAAGCAUCGAAAAUUUAACGGAUCUAAAUAAUAUACCGACAUCUUGUCCAUAUUUAAUGCUAAUUUUAUAUUAGAAUUAUUUGAUGGGGUAGCAGAACGUUGAAUUAAUAUUAGCGUUUUCUUUUUUAAAGAAAAAUAUAGGAUAAUUCAAGUGAGAAUGGUGACAUGAGUAACAAAAAAGAAGUCGUUUCUACUUUCUUUUAAGUAGAACGAACUCUCGCCUAAAGCUUAUGGAUUUGAUAAGUAACGGCCUCUAAGUUUUUAACCUGAAGGUUAGAACGAUGAGAAAAUCUUAUUACUACAUAAUGACAACAUUUUUAAGUGAAAAAUGUGCUGGAAAAAAUUAGUAAUAUUUAUAAUUUAUUAUACAAUAAACUGAACAGAUGAGUAUAAAAAAAAAAUUAUUAACCGUACCUAGGAACUGAAACAAGUAAGCUAGUAGAGAAUACGAAGGCGUUAAAAUGAGAUAACAAUCAUAAAGGAACUCGGCAAAUUGACUCCGUAACUUAGGGAUAAGGAGGGCUCAUUAGUCUUGAUUAAUACAAGUAAAAAGGAAGAAGCAUAGAAUGAUGUUGUACGACUGUUUAAUUAAAACAAAGCACUUUGCAAAAAGAUGAUAAAUCUAAGUAUUGAGUGUGAUUUCUGCCCGGUGCCGGCUGGUUAACGGAUUUUCUAAAUCAUUAUAGGUUUGGUUUUGAAGGAAACCCCGGUUAAUGGCGGCCUUAACGUGAGGGUCCUAAGGUAGCGGAAUACCUUGGCCGUUAAAUGCGGUCUUUGCAUGAAUGAUGUAACGAUACAACAGCUGUCUCUAUGAUUGACUCAGUGAAAUUGGAAUAACUGUGCAGAUACAGUUUACCUCUAGUUAGACGAGAAGACCCUAUGCAGCUUUACUGUUACUAAUUAUUGAGUAUAAUUAGGGCAAAUCUUAGUUUAUAAGGUAAUCGAUAGUAUACAACUGAAAGACCUUUAUUUGCCCAUUAUAUUAUAAAAACCUUUUAAAAGGGAACAAUUGCUAGGAGACAGUUUAUGCGGGGCACAGGCCCCAUAAAGAGUAAAUGGGUGUGUCUAAAAGUAUGAAUGAAACAAACAUAAAUAUAUUUGGUUUGGGAAGUUUAAUAAAUCAUAUUAAAAAUUUUUAAUAUAUUUUGAAUGCAGUUAGCAUAAUUAUAGAUGCAUAAUCUUAUUAGUAUAUACUUGUAUAUACAUAAAAUAGGGUAAGAUUUUCGCUAUAGAGAAAAUAGAUGUAGGAAAAAAAAUGUUAAGGAUCAAGAUUCUAAUGUUUUUUUAGUUAUUAUAUAAUAAUAAUCAUGUUUACUACUUAUCAAGUUUAAUGGCUUAAUCUUGCUUUACUGUUUGAUUCACAACAAAUCUUACAGUCGCGUAAGCGGGGCAUAGGAUCACAAGAUACAAAAAGGAUAGGUCUUGGAUUAUAGGAAAAGCUACGCUAGGGAUGUUUGUCCUUCAAUAUUUUAUAAAAAAAAUAAUUGAUAAU